rnacentral:rRNA from 1 species
GGUUAAGCGACUAAGCGUACACGGUGGAUGCCCUGGCAGUCAGAGGCGAUGAAGGACGUGCUAAUCUGCGAUAAGCGUCGGUGAGGUGAUAUGAACCGUUAUAACCGGCGAUUUCCGAAUGGGGAAACCCAGUGUGUUUCGACACACUAUCAUUAACUGAAUCCAUAGGUUAAUGAGGCGAACCGGGGGAACUGAAACAUCUAAGUACCCCGAGGAAAAGAAAUCAACCGAGAUUCCCCCAGUAGCGGCGAGCGAACGGGGAGGAGCCCAGAGCCUGAAUCAGUGUGUGUGUUAGUGGAAGCGUCUGGAAAGGCGCGCGAUACAGGGUGACAGCCCCGUACACAAAAAUGCACAUAUUGUGAGCUCGAUGAGUAGGGCGGGACACGUGGUAUCCUGUCUGAAUAUGGGGGGACCAUCCUCCAAGGCUAAAUACUCCUGACUGACCGAUAGUGAACCAGUACCGUGAGGGAAAGGCGAAAAGAACCCCGGCGAGGGGAGUGAAAAAGAACCUGAAACCGUGUACGUACAAGCAGUGGGAGCCUCUUAAUGGGGUGACUGCGUACCUUUUGUAUAAUGGGUCAGCGACUUAUAUUCUGUAGCAAGGUUAACCGAAUAGGGGAGCCGAAGGGAAACCGAGUCUUAACUGGGCGUUAAGUUGCAGGGUAUAGACCCGAAACCCGGUGAUCUAGCCAUGGGCAGGUUGAAGGUUGGGUAACACUAACUGGAGGACCGAACCGACUAAUGUUGAAAAAUUAGCGGAUGACUUGUGGCUGGGGGUGAAAGGCCAAUCAAACCGGGAGAUAGCUGGUUCUCCCCGAAAGCUAUUUAGGUAGCGCCUCGUGAAUUCAUCUCCGGGGGUAGAGCACUGUUUCGGCAAGGGGGUCAUCCCGACUUACCAACCCGAUGCAAACUGCGAAUACCGGAGAAUGUUAUCACGGGAGACACACGGCGGGUGCUAACGUCCGUCGUGAAGAGGGAAACAACCCAGACCGCCAGCUAAGGUCCCAAAGUCAUGGUUAAGUGGGAAACGAUGUGGGAAGGCCCAGACAGCCAGGAUGUUGGCUUAGAAGCAGCCAUCAUUUAAAGAAAGCGUAAUAGCUCACUGGUCGAGUCGGCCUGCGCGGAAGAUGUAACGGGGCUAAACCAUGCACCGAAGCUGCGGCAGCGACACUAUGUGUUGUUGGGUAGGGGAGCGUUCUGUAAGCCUGUGAAGGUGGCCUGUGAGGGUUGCUGGAGGUAUCAGAAGUGCGAAUGCUGACAUAAGUAACGAUAAAGCGGGUGAAAAGCCCGCUCGCCGGAAGACCAAGGGUUCCUGUCCAACGUUAAUCGGGGCAGGGUGAGUCGACCCCUAAGGCGAGGCCGAAAGGCGUAGUCGAUGGGAAACAGGUUAAUAUUCCUGUACUUGGUGUUACUGCGAAGGGGGGACGGAGAAGGCUAUGUUGGUCGGGCGACGGUUGUCCCGGUUUAAGCGUGUAGGCUGGUUUUCCAGGCAAAUCCGGAAAACCAAGGCUGAGGCGUGAUGACGAGGCACUACGGUGCUGAAGUGACAAAUGCCCUGCUUCCAGGAAAAGCCUCUAAGCAUCAGGUAACAUCAAAUCGUACCCCAAACCGACACAGGUGGUCAGGUAGAGAAUACCAAGGCGCUUGAGAGAACUCGGGUGAAGGAACUAGGCAAAAUGGUGCCGUAACUUCGGGAGAAGGCACGCUGAUAUGUAGGUGAAGCGACUUGCUCGUGGAGCUGAAAUCAGUCGAAGAUACCAGCUGGCUGCAACUGUUUAUUAAAAACACAGCACUGUGCAAACACGAAAGUGGACGUAUACGGUGUGACGCCUGCCCGGUGCCGGAAGGUUAAUUGAUGGGGUUAGCGGUAACGCGAAGCUCUUGAUCGAAGCCCCGGUAAACGGCGGCCGUAACUAUAACGGUCCUAAGGUAGCGAAAUUCCUUGUCGGGUAAGUUCCGACCUGCACGAAUGGCGUAAUGAUGGCCAGGCUGUCUCCACCCGAGACUCAGUGAAAUUGAACUCGCUGUGAAGAUGCAGUGUACCCGCGGCAAGACGGAAAGACCCCGUGAACCUUUACUAUAGCUUGACACUGAACAUUGAGCCUUGAUGUGUAGGAUAGGUGGGAGGCUUUGAAGUGUGGACGCCAGUCUGCAUGGAGCCGACCUUGAAAUACCACCCUUUAAUGUUUGAUGUUCUAACGUUGGCCCGUAAUCCGGGUUGCGGACAGUGUCUGGUGGGUAGUUUGACUGGGGCGGUCUCCUCCUAAAGAGUAACGGAGGAGCACGAAGGUUGGCUAAUCCUGGUCGGACAUCAGGAGGUUAGUGCAAUGGCAUAAGCCAGCUUGACUGCGAGCGUGACGGCGCGAGCAGGUGCGAAAGCAGGUCAUAGUGAUCCGGUGGUUCUGAAUGGAAGGGCCAUCGCUCAACGGAUAAAAGGUACUCCGGGGAUAACAGGCUGAUACCGCCCAAGAGUUCAUAUCGACGGCGGUGUUUGGCACCUCGAUGUCGGCUCAUCACAUCCUGGGGCUGAAGUAGGUCCCAAGGGUAUGGCUGUUCGCCAUUUAAAGUGGUACGCGAGCUGGGUUUAGAACGUCGUGAGACAGUUCGGUCCCUAUCUGCCGUGGGCGCUGGAGAACUGAGGGGGGCUGCUCCUAGUACGAGAGGACCGGAGUGGACGCAUCACUGGUGUUCGGGUUGUCAUGCCAAUGGCACUGCCCGGUAGCUAAAUGCGGAAGAGAUAAGUGCUGAAAGCAUCUAAGCACGAAACUUGCCCCGAGAUGAGUUCUCCCUGACUCCUUGAGAGUCCUGAAGGAACGUUGAAGACGACGACGUUGAUAGGCCGGGUGUGUAAGCGCAGCGAUGCGUUGAGCUAACCGGUACUAAUGAACCGUGAGGCUUAACCUU